GACGAACGCUGGCGGCGUGCUUAACACAUGCAAGUCGAACGGAAAGGCCCUGCUUUUGUGGGGUGCUCGAGUGGCGAACGGGUGAGUAACACGUGAGUAACCUGCCCUUGACUUUGGGAUAACUUCAGGAAACUGGGGCUAAUAUCGGAUAGGAGCUCCUGCUGCAUGGUGGGGGUUGGAAAGUGUCGGCGGUUUGGGAUGGACUCGCGGCUUAUCAGCUUGUUGGUGGGGUAGUGGCUUACCAAGGCUUUGACGGGUAGCCGGCCUGAGAGGGUGACCGGCCACAUUGGGACUGAGAUACGGCCCAGACUCCUACGGGAGGCAGCAGUGGGGAAUAUUGCACAAUAGGCGGAAGCCUGAUGCAGCAACGCCGCGUGCGGGAUGACGGCCUUCGGGUUGUAAACCGCUUUCGCCUGUGACGAAGCGUGAGUGACGGUAAUGGGUAAGGAAGCACCGGCUAACUACGUG
rnacentral:rRNA from 1 species